rnacentral:rRNA from 1 species
GUAAGUAAGCACUUGAUCCGGGGAUGUCCGAAUGGGGGAACCCAACAGGUUGAUGCCUGUUACCCAUUUCUGUUAAGGAAAUGAGGAGGAAGACGCAGUGAACUGAAACAUCUAAGUAGCUGCAGGAAGAGAAAGCAAAAGCGAUUGCCUUAGUAGCGGCGAGCGAAACGGCAAGAGGGCAAACCGAAGAGUUUACUCUUCGGGGUUGUAGGACUGCAACGUGGACUUAAAGAUUAUAGAAGAACUACCUGGGAAGGUAGGCCAAAGAGAGUAAUAGCCUCGUAUUCGAAAUAGUCUUUAUACCUAGCAGUAUCCUGAGUACGGCGAGACACGAGAAAUCUCGUCGGAAUCUGGGAGGACCAUCUCCCAACCCUAAAUACUCUCUAGUGACCGAUAGUGAACCAGUACCGUGAGGGAAAGGUGAAAAGCACCCCGGGAGGGGAGUGAAAUAGAACCUGAAACCGUGUGCCUACAACAAGUUCGAGCCCGUUAAUGGGUGAGAGCGUGCCUUUUGUAGAAUGAACCGGCGAGUUACGAUAUGAUGCGAGGUUAAGUUGAAGAGACGGAGCCGUAGGGAAACCGAGUCUUAAUAGGGCGCAUUAGUAUCAUGUCGUAGACCCGAAACCAUGUGACCUACCCAUGAGCAGGUUGAAGGUGAGGUAAAACUCACUGGAGGACCGAACCAGGGCACGUUGAAAAGUGCUUGGAUGACUUGUGGGUAGCGGAGAAAUUCCAAUCGAACUCGGAGAUAGCUGGUUCUCUCCGAAAUAGCUUUAGGGCUAGCGUCGAUGUUAAGUCUCUUGGAGGUAGAGCACUGUUUGGGUGAGGGGUCCAUCCCGGAUUACCAAUCUCAGAUAAACUCCGAAUGCCAACGAGAUAUAAUCGGCAGUCAGACUGCGAGUGCUAAGAUCCGUAGUCGAAAGGGAAACAGCCCAGACCACCAGCUAAGGUCCCAAAAUAUAUGUUAAGUGGAAAAGGAUGUGGGGUUGCACAGACAACUAGGAUGUUAGCUUGGAAGCAGCUAUUCAUUCAAAGAGUGCGUAAUAGCUCACUAGUCGAGUGACCCUGCGCCGAAAAUGUACCGGGGCUAAAACAUAUUACCGAAGCUGUGGAUACCUUUAUAGGUAUGGUAGGAGAGCGUUCUAUGUGCGAAGAAGGUGUACCGUGAGGAGUGCUGGAGCGCAUAGAAGUGAGAAUGCCGGUAUGAGUAGCGAAAGACAGGUGAGAAUCCUGUCCACCGUAAGACUAAGGUUUCCAGGGGAAGGCUCGUCCGCCCUGGGUUAGUCGGGACCUAAGGAGAGACCGAAAGGUGUAUCCGAUGGACAACAGGUUGAUAUUCCUGUACUAGAGUAUAUAGUGAUGGAGGGACGCAGUAGGCUAACUAAACCAGACGAUUGGAAGUGUCUGGCCAAGCAGUGAGGUGUGAUAUGAGUCAAAUGCUUAUAUCUAUAACAUUGAGCUGUGAUGGGGAGCGAAGUUUAGUAGCGAAGUUAGUGAUGUCACACUGCCGAGAAAAGCUUCUAGCGUUAAUUAUACUCUACCCGUACCGCAAACCGACACAGGUAGUCGAGGCGAGUAGCCUCAGGUGAGCGAGAGAACUCUCGUUAAGGAACUCGGCAAAAUGGCCCCGUAACUUCGGGAGAAGGGGCGCUGACUUAUGGUCAGCCGCAGUGAAUAGGCCCAAGCAACUGUUUAGCAAAAACACAGCUCUCUGCUAAAUCGUAAGAUGAUGUAUAGGGGGUGACGCCUGCCCGGUGCUGGAAGGUUAAGAGGAGUGCUUAGCAAUAGCGAAGGUAUGAAUUGAAGCCCCAGUAAACGGCGGCCGUAACUAUAACGGUCCUAAGGUAGCGAAAUUCCUUGUCGGGUAAGUUCC